UACAGAGGGGCAAGCGUUGUUCGGAGUUACUGGGCGUAAAGGGUGUGUAGGCGGUUCUCUAAGUUUGGUGUGAAAUCUCCCGGCUCAACCGGGAGGGUGCGCCGAAAACUGGAGGGCUAGAGUGCGGGAAGGGAGAGUAGAAUUCCUGGUGUAGCGGUGAAAUGCGUAGAUAUCAGGAGGAAUACCGGUGGUGUAGACGGCUCUCUGGACCGCGACUGACGCUGAGACACGAAAGCGUGGGUAGCAAACAGG
rnacentral:rRNA from 1 species